GGCUUUUGGCCUGGUACACUGCCCACGAUGCCACCUCGCUGUUGUGGCCCCCAGGGCAGUGCUGCCAAAGGAGAAGACAGAUUUCUCUUUUAUUUCCUUGGCAUGAAGUGAUUUUGCCUUGUGCCAUAAGGUAAGAACAGUUUUCAAAUGGUGUGUGUAUGUACGUGCGGGUGUGUGCGUGUGCACACACAGACACUCAUGCUUGCACACUGAACGGGCUUUAUUAAUGCUCUGGUCUUGCGGGUGAACAGUGUGAGGACUGAAGAACAAAGGUGUUCAUUGCUCAGGGGGCUGCCUGUGAUUCCUGGAAUGCUGGGAACCACGUUUACAGUUUCGUCCUAGGUCCUGGAUGUGACCCAGAAACAGGGACGAGCAAAGAACCUGGCUUGUGAGGGGUGUCGGCCUCAUUAGUCAAACAUUUACUGAGCACCGAAGGUCCACCAGGCUUUGAACUGGGUGCUGGGGGCAUGAGGCUGAGCAAGACGUAGACCUGGUCUCCAUGGAGCUUUGGAGAGACACGCAUCAAUAGCAGGCGGAGGAGUUACUGCUGUGGCUCAGUGGGUUAAGAAGCUGACUGCAGCAGCUCAGGUCACUGUGUGGAGGUAUUGGUUUGACCCCAGUGCCAAUUCAGUGGGUUAAAAGGAUCUGGCAUUGCCGUGGUUCCAGGGGUAGAGCUCAGCUGUGGCUCAGAUUCAAUCCCUGGCCUGGAAACUUCCAUAUGUUGUGGGUGAAGCAUAAAAGAAAUUUUCACCAUGCCCUGUGAGAAAUGCUCCGACUGCAUUCUUGCAAAUGGAAACUCCAUGAGGACAGGCGCCCUUCCCGUUUAUCUCUGCGUCCCUUGUACCUGGUAUGGGCUCAGGCACAUAGUAGGUCCUCAUAAACCUGCUGUAUGGUGAGCAUGAGGGCAGGAGUAAGUAUACCUAGGAAACUGGGGGAGGGACGUUGGCUAAUAUAAGAAGCUGGGUACUCAGGCAUUUGCUCGAUGGUUCAUUGAUGAUUCGUACAUGCGUGCGUUCACCCAUCCUUCGGUCUUCAUCUACCUGAACCGUUUGCUUUUGUGAUGGGAGGGGGACCCGAGUACCAUUUACGCAGGGACACAACUUGGAACAUGCUGGGCCAGGAUCAGAGCCAUGUGCGACCCAGAGGAAGAAGGACCCAUCAGUAAUGGGAGGCCGUGGGGCUUUCCAGAGCUGGUGGCACUUGGGCUGCCCUUUAAGGGCAAAGGUACGUUUCCAGAGCCUCAAAGGGGCUGGCGUGAGGAUGUGGGGCCAGGAAAAGGGAGCUUCCCACACCCCGAUACCUCAUGCUUGGUCAAACAGACAACACACCGUAAUAGGCCCAUGUGUGUGAAUGUGUUUUACAAACAGUGAAGCACCCGCUGGAUGCCCAGUGAGGAGACGCAGCAGAAGAAUAGUAACUUGCAUGCUGGGACAUCCUGACUCUACGAGUCUGGAGAAGGUGUUGGCUUUUAUGGUGGAAACGUUACUACCCUUGACCCUGAAGUCACGCCGAGAGCUUGCCAUUGCUGUUGAACUUGAGAGAGAUGGGGCCUUCCAUCAUCAUUGGGCUUUGCGUUUGUUCUUUCUUUUACUCACUUGCUCACUCAUUCACAUGUGGGGGUGGAUCUCUUUUUUUCAUAAGAACCCUUCCACUGAACCUCUGUAUGUAAACCAGCCAACAUGGAGUCAGAACCUCAGUUCCUGGUCUCACCCCUACCGCCAGCUCCGGUACAGCCUCCACAGGGGUUCGAGCCUUCCCAAGAACAUGGUUGAAAAUUUUCACCUGGAAGGUAGAAAGUGAGAGCCAAAGAGG
ensembl:lncRNA